ACUCCCAAACCCAUGUGAACAUUACCUUUUGUUGCCUCGGCAGGUGGUGCCUCCCCGGGAAAGAUGUCCGCAUCGCGGGCUACCCGGUAGGGGAUACCCUUGCCGGUGGACUACCAAACUCUUGUUAAACAGUGUCAUUCUGAAUUUGAUAAACAAAUCAGUUAAAACUUUCAACAACGGAUCUCUUGGUUCUGGCAUCGAUGAAGAACGCAGCGAAAUGCGAUAAGUAAUGUGAAUUGCAGAAUUCAGUGAAUCAUCGAAUCUUUGAACGCACAUUGCGCCCAUUAGUAUUCUAGUGGGCAUGCCUGUUUGAGCGUCAUUUCAACCCUUAAGCCUCUCGUUGCUUAGCGUUGGGAGACUGCCGUAAAACGCAGCUCCUCAAAGAUAGCUGGCAGAGUUAGGUCAUACUCUAGGCGUAGUAAAUACCCUUUUAUCUCGCUUUUGCAGUUGGCCUGGCUGUCGCCAUCAAAACCCCCAUAUCUUUUUUUUUAUGGUUGACCUCAAAUCAGGUAGGAAUACCCGCUGAACUUAAGCAUAUCAAUAAGCGGAGGAAAAGAAACCAACAGGGAUUGCCCUAGUAACGGCGAGUGAAGCGGCAACAGCUCAAAUUUGAAAGCUGGCCUUCUGGCCCGCAUUGUAAUUUGUAGAGGAUGCUUUUGGUGCGGUACCUUCCGAGUUCCUUGGAACAGGACGCCUUAGAGGGUGAGAGCCCCGUACGGUUGGAUGCCUAGCCUCUGUAAAGCUCCUUCGACGAGUCGAGUAGUUUGGGAAUGCUGCUCUAAAUGGGAGGUAAAUUUCUUCUAAAGCUAAAUAUUGGCCAGAGACCGAUAGCGCACAAGUAGAGUGAUCGAAAGAUGAAAAGCACUUUGAAAAGAGGGUUAAAUAGCACGUGAAAUUGUUGAAAGGGAAGCAUUUGUGACCAGACCUUUGCCUGGCGGAUCAUCCAGUGUUCUCACUGGUGCACUCCGCCUGGCUGAGGCCAGCAUCGGUUUCCGUAGGGGGAUAAAGGCUUCGGGAAUGUGGCUCCCUCGGGAGUGUUAUAGCCCGUUGCGUAAUACCCUUAUGGGGACCGAGGUCCGC
rnacentral:rRNA from 1 species